CCUGGGGAGGAUUCUGGGGACGUCGGUCGGGGUUCUUAGAAGGGGCGAUGACUUUUCACCGUCACUGGGGCUCAUGCAGGAAGACUGGGGGAGCAGGAGGCGGAAACGCACCCACAUCAAGGGCGGCAGGGCGGGGCGGCGGGGUACGGGGACGGGUGGGGAAGGGGCUGCAGGGUAUGAGUCCGACGCCUGCCCUUCUGUCACUUCCAAGACCCUGCCAUAGGCAUGAGGGGUCCCCGGCCGAGAUGACAGUGCUGGCGCCAGCCUGGAGCCCAAAUUCCUCCCUGUUCCUGCUGUUGCUGCUGAUGAGCCCUUGCCUGCGGGGGACACCUGACUGUUACUUCAGCCACAGUCCCAUCUCCUCCAGCUUCCACAUCUCGAUUAGAGAGUUGACUGACUACCUGCUUAAAGAUUACCCAGUCACUGUGGCCAUCAAUCUUCAGGACGAGAAACACUGCAAGGCCUUGUGGAGCCUCUUCCUGGCCCAUCGCUGGAUAGAGCAACUGAAGACUGUGGCAGGGUCUAAAAUGCAAAACCUUCUGGAGCGUGUCAAUAUGGAGAUACAUUUUGUCACCUCGUGUACCUUCCAGCCCUUACCAGAAUGUCUUCGAUUCGUCCAGACCAACAUCUCCCACCUCCUGCAGGACACCUGCACACAGCUACUUGCUCUGAAGCCCUGUAUCGGGAAGGCCUGCCAGAAUUUCUCUCGGUGCCUGGAGGUGCAGUGCCAGCCGGACUCCUCCACCCUGCUGCCCCCAAGGAGUCCUGUAGCCCUAGAAGCCACAGAGCUUCCAGAGCCUCAGUCCAGGCAGCUGUUGCUGCUGCUGCUCCUGCCUCUCACACUGGUGCUGCUGGCAGCUGCCUGGGGCCUUCGCUGGCAAAGGGCAAGAAGGAGGGUGGAGCUCCGCCCUGGGGUACCCCUCCCUUCCCAUCCCUAGGAUGCAAGCCUUGUGCAUCGUUGACUCAGCCAGGGUCUUAUCUCGGUGAGUCUUACACUGGAGCCUGGAAUGGCCAGGCUUAGGGGUGAGUCAGUCCAAGAUUUGGGGGCUGUCUUACUAUCUCUUAUAGGAGGGACGGGGAUUCAGGAGAGGGUGUGUGUGUGUGUCAGGGACAGCACAGUUUUUGCUGAGCGUCCAAUGUGACAAAGCUCAGGGAGUUUCUGCAGCUCGCACAGUUGGGCUGUGGAGAGCUGAAAAGGCUUGUGAGGGAGAGUAUACUGUGAGAACAAGCAAGGAGGCAGAAGGCGGAUCCCCUGCCAACACCCGUAUUUUAGAAUGUAAUGUGUUUUACACUUGUAAUACCUCUCCUGUGGAGGUUACACCUGUAAUCCCAGCCCUUGGGAGCCCAGAGCAGGAAGAUUGCUGAACUGUCUGGCCACCCUCAGCUACAAGAUGAGGUCUCAAUAUGUUGCCCAAACUGAGUUUGAACACCUCGAUGAACCUUCCUGCCCCAACCUUCCAAUAGCUGGGCUUACAGGCCUGCUAUAUAUAUACAACAAGGCUUUUCUUUUCUUUUCUUUUUUCU